ensembl:lncRNA
AUUGGAAAAAAGAGGGAAGAAUAGAGACGGAGAGGAGCAGACAAAUUUUUGCCGGCUGAUUCGAUUUUCGACGAGUUUGUCUUUGAGAAGUUUUACUUGAAUUAUUAAGUUAUAGCAAGGUCUACUAGCAGUGGUCAGUGUCUGGGCCUCGACGGACACUUGAAGACAGUUGAGGACUGGUGCUUUAAAGAGAGCAAGAAUGGCCAUUGUGCAGACAGCACGUCCCGCCUCAUCAAGCCCUGCCCAGACAGACAUGUUCUCCAGACAACCCCAGCUAAGAUGGCGCCCUCUCUCUACUCUCUCUCACGCACACCUGCACCCAGAGGCGUAGAGGCAUGCUGCUGGUGAGUGCGUUUGACGUAUUCUUUAUCAAGAAAAAAAAAACACAUUGCUUCUG